AGCAGCCGCGGUAAUUCCAGCUCCAAUAGCGUAUAUUAAAGUUGUUGCAGUUAAAAAGCUCGUAGUUGAAUUUCGGGAUCAGUACGCUGGUCGUGCCUCCGGUAUGUACUGGUGUCACUGAUUCCUCCCUUCUGAAGAACCAUCAUGCCAUUCACUUGGUGUGGUGGGGAAUCAGGACUGUUACUUUGAAAAAUUAGAGUGUUUAAAGCAGGCUCGCGCUUGAAUACAUUAGCAUGGAAUAAUGAAAUAGGACGUUUAUCCUAUUUUGUUGGUUUCUAGGAUUGACGUAAUGAUUAAUAGGGAUAGUUGGGGGCAUUAGUAUUCAAUUGUCAGAGGUGAAAUUCUUGGAUUUAUUGAAGACUAACUACUGCGAAAGCAUUUGCCAAGGAUGUUUUCAUUAAUCAAGAACGAAAGUUAGGGGAUCGAAGACGAUCAGAUACCGUCGUAGUCUUAACCAUAAACUAUGCCGACUAGGGAUCGGAUGAUGUUAAUUUUAAUUGACUCAUUC
rnacentral:rRNA from 1 species